GGUGGAGUGAUUUGUCUGGUUUAUUCCGAUAACGAACGAGACUCUGGCCUGCUAACUAGUGUUCACAUCUUUACGUGUGCUUCGCUUCUUAGAGGGACAGGCGGCUUCCAGCCGCAUGAAAAAGAGCAAUAACAGGUCUGUGAUGCCCUUAGAUGUCCGGGGCUGCACGCGCGCUACACUGAAAGAAUCAGCGUGUACGUUACCUGGCUCGAAAGUGUCGGGUAAUCCGGUGAAAAUCUUUCGUGAUUGGGAUCGGGACUUGCAAUUA
rnacentral:rRNA from 1 species